AUGGAAAAAAUGAAGGACGCGCCGGUACUAGAAGGUGAAGAGCCAAAGUCUGCUGCUGAAAUUGUUGAAGAAGUGCUCAAGACCGAAGUCAAGGAAAGCACAUUCCUCAGGAAUGUUGGGCUCCAGUCAUCUAGGAACAACUCUGGCAAAGCAACUGCUGAAGUGGCUGCUCAUGUUCGUGUUCUUGAGCAGAAGCUGGAGAGGUCGGAGCUUCAAGCUGAAGUGAUGCAAGAAGAAUUGGCGGCAAUCAAGAUGAAGGCGGAAUAA
rnacentral:rRNA from 1 species